rnacentral:rRNA from 1 species
AUACGGAGGGUGCAAGCGUUAUCCGGAAUCAUUGGGUUUAAAGGGUCCGCAGGCGGUCAAUUAAGUCAGAGGUGAAAUCCCGUCGCUCAACGACGGAACUGCCUUUGAUACUGGUUGACUUGAGUUAUACGGAAGUAGAUAGAAUGUGUAGUGUAGCGGUGAAAUGCAUAGAUAUUACACAGAAUACCGAUUGCGAAGGCAGUCUACUACGUAUAUACUGACGCUCAUGGACGAAAGCGUGGGGAGCGAACAGGAUUAGAAACCCCUGUAGUCC